CAACCUGCCCACCACUUGGGGAUAACCUUGCGAAAGUAAGACUAAUACCCAAUGAUAUCUCUAGAANNCAUCUGAAAGAGAUUAAAGAUUUAUCGGUGAUGGAUGGGGAUGCGUCUGAUUAGCUUGUUGGCGGGGUAACGGCCCACCAAGGCAACGAUCAGUAGGGGUUCUGAGAGGAAGGUCCCCCACAUUGGAACUGAGACACGGUCCAAACUCCUACGGGAGGCAGCAGUGAGGAAUAUUGGUCAAUGGACGAGAGUCUGAACCAGCCAAGUAGCGUGCAGGAAGACGGCCCUAUGGGUUGUAAACUGCUUUUAUAAGGGAAUAAAGUGAGAGUCGUGACUCUUUUUGCAUGUACCUUAUGAAUAAGGACCGGCUAAUUCCGUGCCAGCAGCCGCGGUAAUACGGAAGGUCCGGGCGUUAUCCGGAUUUAUUGGGUUUAAAGGGAGCGUAGGCCGGAGAUUAAGCGUGUUGUGAAAUGUAGAUGCUCAACAUCUGAACUGCAGCGCGAACUGGUUUCCUUGAGUACGCACAAAGUGGGCGGAAUUCGUGGUGUAGCGGUGAAAUGCUUAGAUAUCACGAAGAACUCCGAUUG
rnacentral:rRNA from 1 species